GAAAUAAAACCUCCUUUAAACACAAAGGCUUGGUCCCGACCUUAAAAUCAAUUUUUACUUAACUUACACAUGCAAGUCUCCACACCCCAGUGAAAACGCCCUAAACUCCUUAAUUAAGGAAAAGGAGCUGGUAUCAGGCACAACAAUUUGCCCAAAACACCUAGCAACGCCACGCCCACAAGGGUCUUCAGCAGUGAUAAACAUUGAAUAUAAGUGCAAACUUGAUUCAGUCAAGGUAAAUAGAGUAGGCAAAUAUGGUGCCAGCCGCCGCGGUUACACCACAAGACUCAAAUUGAUUUUAUUCGGCGUAAAACGUGAUUUAAGCCACAAACCCAUUAGAAUUAAACCAUCAUUGAGCUGUGACAAGCUUAUAACAGGAAAAAUCAAAUACGAAAGUUACUCUAAUUAACCAACUUGAAUACACGAAAAUUUGGACACAAACUAGGAUUAGAUACCCUACUAUGCCACAUAGUAAACUUUAAUUACAUCACAAUCGCCAGGGAAUUACGAGCAAAGCUUAAAACCCAAAGGACUUGACGGUACCCUAUAUCCUUCUAGAGGAGCCUGUCCCAUAACCGAUACCCCCCGCUUAACCUUACCACUUUUAGCCAAUCAGCCUGUAUACUUCCGUCGUCAACUUACCGCGUGAGCGACUAUAGUGAGUUUAAUGUUUAUACACCAAUACGUCAGGUCAAAGUGCAGCAAAUGAAGUGGAGAGAGAUGGGCUACACUUUCUAAUGUAGAAUAUACGAAAGACUACGUGAAAUCUUUAUCAGAAGGUGGAUUUAGUAGUAAAAAGAAAAUAGAAUGUUCUUUUUAAUCUGGCACUGGGGCAUGUACACACCGCCCGUCACCCUCUUCACAAGGCAAAUUUUAGUAAAUAACAAUUACCCCCUCAAUAGAAGAGGUAAGUCGUAACAAGGUAAGUGUACCGGAAGGUGUACUUGGAAACGCUACAU
rnacentral:ncRNA from 1 species